rnacentral:tRNA from 1 species
GCCGAGAUAGUCUAGUCUGGUAAGGCGCAGGAUUCGAAAUCCUGUGAGCAUUCGCUCUCCCUGGGUUCAAAUCCCAGUCUCGGCG